rnacentral:misc_RNA from 1 species
UGCUCCGUGUAAAGUGGCAUAAUUAACUUGCCGUGGCGACUUCUUAAUUGCGGAGGAGGAAAAGUUCAAGGACCGAGCCGCGUGUAUUUUGCAGCGGAUCGCGCGAAAGCCCGCGGUAAGAGCCGAAGGGGCAGCAGAGGGGGGAAAAGCGAGCAGCAGAAAUCGCGUCAACACCGGUGAUUAAUACGAUAACGAGGAAAGGAAUAAGGGAAAAGAUGUUUACCGACCAACGACGCCGACUUCUGCUCAGUUCUUAACCGGACGUUAAAUGAUUACAUUGGCAAUUACAGCGGAAUUACUUUACGAUACAAUCAUCCUCGUCUUCCUUGCACUUCGUACAACUCCACUAGGAAAGCAGGAUAUUUACGACCUUCGCUAGCCACAGCUUGAAACGUCCAUCUGCAU